rnacentral:rRNA from 1 species
GACGUAGGGCGCGAGCGUUGUCCGGAUUUAUUGGGCGUAAAGAGCUCGUAGGCGGCUUGUCGCGUCGAAUGUGAAAACUCGGGGCUCAACUCCGAGCUUGCAUUCGAUACGGGCAGGCUAGAGUUCGGUAGGGGAGACUGGAAUUCCUGGUGUAGCGGUGAAAUGCGCAGAUAUCAGGAGGAACACCGGUGGCGAAGGCGGGUCUCUGGGCCGAUGACUGACGCUGAGGAGCGAAAGCGUGGGGAGCGAACAGG